rnacentral:rRNA from 1 species
CCUACGGGUGGCUGCAGUAGGGAAUAUUGCUCAAUGGGGGAAACCCUGAAGCAGCAACGCCGCGUGGAGGAUGAAGGUUUUCGGAUUGUAAACUCCUUUUGUUAGAGAAGAUAAUGACGGUAUCUAACGAAUAAGAACCGGCUAACCCCGGUCCGGAAGCCGGGGUAAUAAGGGGGGUGCAAGCGUGACUCGGAAUCACUGGGAGUAAAGAGCGCGAAGGCGGGCUAGCAAGUCAGAUUUGAAAUCAUAUGGCUUAACCAUCGAACUGCAUGUGAAACUGUUAUUCUAGAGUAUGGGAGAGGUAGGUGGAAUUCUUGGUGUAGGGGUAAAAUCCGUAGAGAUCAAGAGGAAUACUCAUUGCGAAGGCGACCUGCUAGAACAUAACUGACGCUGAUGCGCGAAAGCGUGGGGAGCAAACAGGAUUAGAUACCCGGGUAGUC